rnacentral:rRNA from 1 species
CCUACGGGUGGCAGCAGUGAGGAAUAUUGGUCAAUGGACGAGAGUCUGAACCAGCCAAGUCGCGUGAAGGAUGACUGCCCUAUGGGUUGUAAACUUCUUUUAUCUGGGAAUAAAAUGUUCCACGUGUGGGAUUUUGUAUGUACCAUAUGAAUAAGGAUCGGCUAACCUCGUGCCAGCAGCCGCGGUAAUACGGAGGAUCCGAGCGUUAUCCGGAUUUAUUGGGUUUAAAGGGAGCGUAGGUGGAUUGUUAAGUCAGUUGUGAAAGUUUGCGGCUCAACCGUAAAAUUGCAGUUGAAACUGGCAGUCUUGAGUACAGUAGAGGUGGGCGGAAUGCGUGGUGUAGCGGUGAAAUGCUUAGAUAUCACGAAGAACUCCGAUUGCGAAGGCAGUUCACUGGACUGCAACUGACACUGAGGCUCGAAAGUGUGGGUAUCAAACAGGAUUAGAUACCCUUGUAGUC